UAUCUAUCAUAUAAUACUGUUGUCCACUGCUACACCCUGAUAUUUUCUACUAAAAUGUUGCUGAUAUGUGUUUGUUUGAGUCGGCGGGAAAGGAGCGAAUUGGAAGAAAGGUGAGCAAAAGAAGUUGAUUCGGGACCAAGAGACAAAAGAAGAACUUCGCAUAUUCACUCUCUUAAGGCAAAAAGGCGAAGAAGUGCACGAGAGAGCUGGAAGGAAAAGAAAAAGAGAAAAACUUCGCCCGUUCAUUCUCGCAUGCACACAAGUGAAUGAACGAGCUAACCUGUAAGGCUGUAACAGCUUGUCCGACUUUGGCUUGGAAAAUGGCAUCUCAUACCAACCCUAAACUAUAUAAACACCUUCUUAAACAGUUUUUAAAGAGACAUUAUUUGGGAGGCGAAAGAUGGCUGGACCAAUUGCAAGUGCCGGAUCACACAAGUUCUUCUUCCGUUCUUCCUUAGUUUGUAUUAAUGCUUUCAAUUAUUAACAUGAUUGUUAGCGUGACUAUGCGUAGCUAAAUUUCUUUCUAGGGUUUUGGUGGAACCUUUUGUAGGAUGAAUUCUUGAUAUAUUUUGUUAUAAUUGAGCCUUUAGAUUUCUCUAUUUGUU